AUUGAACGCUGGCGGCAUGCCUUACACAUGCAAGUCGAACGGCAGCACGGGAGCAAUCCUGGUGGCGAGUGGCGAACGGGUGAGUAAUAUACCGGAACGUGCCCAGUAGUGGGGGAUAACUGCUCGAAAGAGCAGCUAAUACCGCAUACGAACUGAGGGUGAAAAGGGGGGAUCGCAAGACCUCUCGCUAUUGGAGCGGCCGAUAUCAUAUUAGCUAGUUGGUGGGGUAAAGGCCUACCAAGGCAACGAUCUGUAGUUGGUCUGAGAGGACGACCAGCCACACUGGGACUGAGAAACGGCCCAGACUCCUACGGGAGGCAGCAGUGGGGAAUUUUGGACAAUGGGCGCAAGCCUGAUCCAGCAAUGCCGCGUGCAGGAAGAAGGCCUUCGGGUUGUAAACUGCUUUUGUCAGGGAAGAAAUCCUCUAGGUUAAUACCCUUGGGGGGAUGACGGUACCUGAAGAAUAAGCACCGGCUAACUACGUGCCAGCAGCCGCCGUAAUAC
rnacentral:rRNA from 1 species